GGCUAGAUGGCUCAGUCAGCAGAGCGUGUGGCUUUGAAUUGCAGGGUCGUGGGUUCAAAACCCACGCAGGACA